AGAACGAACGCUGGCGGCAUGCCUAAUACAUGCAAGUCGAACGAACUCUUCGGAGUUAGUGGCGCACGGGUGCGUAACGCGUGGGAAUCUGCCCCUUGGUUCGGAAUAACAGUUGGAAACGACUGCUAAUACCGGAUGAUGACGAAAGUCCAAAGAUUUAUCGCCAAGGGAUGAGCCCGCGUAGGAUUAGCUAGUUGGUGAGGUAAAGGCUCACCAAGGCAACGAUCCUUAGCUGGUCUGAGAGGAUGAUCAGCCACACUGGGACUGAGACACGGCCCAGACUCCUACGGGAGGCAGCAGUAGGGAAUAUUGGACAAUGGGCGAAAGCCUGAUCCAGCAAUGCCGCGUGAGUGAUGAAGGCCUUAGGUUGUAAAGCUCUUUACCCGAGAUGAUAAUGACAGUAUCGGAGAAUAAGCCCCGGCUAACUCCGUGCUAGCAGCCGC
rnacentral:rRNA from 1 species